rnacentral:rRNA from 1 species
UACGUAGGGAGCAAGCGUUGUCCGGAAUCAUUGGGCGUAAAGCGCGCGUAGGCGGCCCUGUAAGUCCGUUGUGAAAGUCAAAGGCUCAACCUUUGAAAGCCGAUGGAUACUGCAGGGCUAAAGUCCGGAAGAGGCGAGUGGAAUUCCUGGUGUAGCGGUGGAAUGCGCAGAUAUCAGGAGGAACACCAAUAGCGAAGGCAGCUCGCUGGGACGGUACUGACGCUAAGGAGCGAAAGCGUGGGGAGCGAACAGG